GGAAGGGCGGGCGAGACUGUGGAGGACCUGGAGCUGGCGGGGGUCAGGGUAGGGGAGGGGCAGGGUUCGGGGUUCGGGGGCGGGGUGUUCACGGUGAGACCAAAAGUCAGGUAGGAGCCUCCGGGGUCCCUGCUGUGUCACCCGGACAGGCCGUGGGGGCGGGCAGGGGGCGGGGCCGGGCCUGACGACAGCGGCCGAGUUCAGUCCCGCUCUCCGCACGCCACCUUAGGCCCGCAGCGGUGCCGGGUGCUCUCCAGCAUGUCCUUCAUCCCGGUGGCCGAGGAUUCCGACUUCCCCAUCCACAACCUGCCCUACGGCGUCUUCUCGACCAGAGGCGACCCAAGACCGAGGAUAGGCGUGGCCAUUGGCGACCAGAUCCUGGACCUCAGUGUCAUCAAGCACCUCUUUACUGGGCCUGUCCUCUCCAAACACCAGGAUGUCUUCAAUCAGCCUACACUCAACAGCUUCAUGGGCCUGGGUCAGGCUGCCUGGAAGGAGGCGAGAGUGGUCUUGCAGAAUUUGCUGUCUGUGAGCCAAGCCAGGCUGAGAGAUGACACCGAACUUCGGAAGCGUGCAUUCAUCUCCCAGGCUUCUGCCACAAUGCACCUUCCAGCCGCCAUAGGAGACUACACAGACUUCUAUUCCUCUCGGCAGCAUGCUACCAAUGUUGGAAUCAUGUUCAGGGACAAGGAGAAUGCAUUGAUGCCAAAUUGGUAUGAACUGGGCCAAAUGUUUGCAUAAGUUCAAAGUCUUUCUUUUCAUUUCCAGCAGCAUGUUUGUCUCAGGAGCUGCCAAGUUCUUCUUAAAGUAAACUGGGGAGGAAAAGCAGUUAUGAUGUUGCAACCUCUGGAAGCAGUGGUCUCAGCUUCUGGUCUCCUGCUCAGCUUGGCUUAGGACUUGCUGUGGGAUCGAAGGGCAAGUCCCUUAAGCUUCUUUGGACAGCAGGGGUUGGAAUUAGAUUCCCUUAAUCACUAUGCUCCUUCUGGAGUCUUUCAUUUAUAAGCUGUGUAUUAUCGUACUAUGGGCAAGUCUUAGACUGUAGCAUGCUUCAUACUUACAUUUUCUGAUGAAUGAGAAUCCUUAGAUGUGCCCAGUGCUGUGUAUUCCUCAACACGUGAUCGGUUUCAUUCAUUUGUUUGAUCCUCAUAGUAGUUCUGUGAUGUCACAAGGCCAUGAUUGUAAGCCCCAUUUUACAGACAGGAAAAUGGGCUCAGAGAAGGAUCAACUUGCCUGAGCACAACAGGGCCACAGCCUGUCUCCCAGCCCCCAGAUCAGGCCAUUGACCAAGCUGAGGAUGUAGAGCUGGGGUCCUUGCCCUUUGUUCUGUGUUGUCCCCUGGAUGUGAUGGUUCCUUGGAACUGAAGAGGGCCUGGACGCAGUGGCAGGCAUACACCCCAGGCCCCGGUGCCAUCAGUCACACACACGAGCUGGGUUAGGGACAGUGCUUUACUCUCUCUUGAGUGAGUGUCUCCAGUAGGCUAUGCCAUGAGGGGAGGGUCUGUUAGAACCAAGAUGAGGAAGAAAGAAAGGGAGAGCGAGCAGUUCCAAGCCAGAGAUGUUGAGCAACAAGGCCAAGGUUGCAGAACAAGGCAGGGGUGAAUCUGAGACCAGAACCCAGGCUCCAGGUUCCAGGCUCCCGUGUGAGAUGGGCAAAUAUUUGAGAAUCUUGCAUUGUACAGGCUCCAGCUGUAUUUGUCCCCAGCCAGCUUCAACUUGUCUAUCUGGUGGGAUGAAUGCCUAUCUGAGUGUCCUUGGCAGUGAUGACCCAGUGGACUGCCCAGCCCCAGAAGAGCUGGCUAUCACCUGUGUGCCAGGAUCCCAAAGGGCAGGGGCACCAGGAAGUGAGAGGAGAGCCGGGACCUGGGAAAUGAGUGUUGACUGUGUUUGAAACCGAGUGUGGGGGCUGCAGCCAUCCUUGCCCCAUGUCCUUCUGCAGAAUAAGAGCAAACAGGCCUUCUCUAGCCAUGUUUGAUGCAAGAUGGCCUGCAGCUGUGACUUUUUAGCUUUAUGUACAUAGUCUUUAUUAUAAAGGUAACAUAUAUCUACUGGAAUUAACCCAAACACUACAGAAAAUAU
rnacentral:sRNA from 1 species